rnacentral:rRNA from 1 species
GGCGAGUGGCGAACGGGUGAGUAACAUAUCGGAACGUACCGAGCAGUGGGGGAUAACUAAUCGAAAGAUUAGCUAAUACCGCAUAUUUUCUGAGGAAGAAAGCAGGGGACCAUUUGGCCUUGCGCUGUUUGAGCGGCCGAUAUCUGAUUAGCUAGUUGGUGGGGUAAAGGCCUACCAAGGCGACGAUCAGUAGCGGGUCUGAGAGGAUGAUCCGCCACACUGGGACUGAGACACGGCCCAGACUCCUACGGGAGGCAGCAGUGGGGAAUUUUGGACAAUGGGCGCAAGCCUGAUCCAGCCAUGCCGCGUGUCUGAAGAAGGCCUUCGGGUUGUAAAGGACUUUUGUCAGGGAAGAAAAGGAUAGGGUUAAUACCCCUGUCUGAUGACGGUACCUGAAGAAUAAGCACCGGCUAACUACGUGCCAGCAGCCGCGGUAAUACGUAGGGUGCGAGCGUUAAUCGGAAUUACUGGGCGUAAAGCGGGCGCAGACGGUUACUUAAGCAGGAUGUGAAAUCCCCGGGCUCAACCUGGGAACUGCGUUCUGAACUGGGUAACUAGAGUGUGUCAGAGGGAGGUAGAAUUCCACGUGUAGCAGUGAAAUGCGUAGAGAUGUGGAGGAAUACCGAUGGCGAAGGCAGCCUCCUGGGAUAACACUGACGUUCAUGCCCGAAAGCGUGGGUAGCAAACAGGAUUAGAUACCCUGGUAGUCCACGCCCUAAACGAUGUCGAUUAGCUGUUGGGCAGCUUGACUGCUUAGUAGCGAAGCUAACGCGUGAAAUCGACCGCCUGGGGAGUACGGUCGCAAGAUUAAAACUCAAAGGAAUUGACGGGGACCCGCACAAGCGGUGGAUGAUGUGGAUUAAUUCGAUGCAACGCGAAGAACCUUACCUGGUCUUGACAUGUGCGGAACCCUCCAGAGACGGAGGGGUGCCUUCGGGAGCCGUAACACAGGUGCUGCAUGGCUGUCGUCAGCUCGUGUCGUGAGAUGUUGGGUUAAGUCCCGCAACGAGCGCAACCCUUGUCAUUAGUUGCCAUCAUUAAGUUGGGCACUCUAAUGAGACUGCCGGUGACAAGCCGGAGGAAGG